AAGUUAAUGGCAAAAGGGUCAGAGGAAGGCUGUAUCCUUGGAGUGUUGCUGAAGUUGAACAUGGUGAUCAUUGUUAUUUUACAAUUCUAAGAAAUACGUUGAUAAGUAAAAAUAUCUAUAACCAGCAUCCAGGAGGGAUACUGUCAGUGAAACCUGCUUAGCUGAGGACUGGCUGUGUGUGUGCCUCCAGACCAAUCAUAUGUUUGUUUUGAGAUACAUUUUUCGGAGGAAGGUAAUACACACACGCCAUGUAUUUUCUUUUUGU